CCCUUCCCACUGAUGCCCCUGCGGGGUCGCCCCUCUAGGCGGGUCCGUGAGCGCCGAACAGAGCAGGUCUACGCCCCGGCAGAUUCUAUUGGUUGGAAGGCCGUGGGAAGCGGCCAUAAGUAACCAAUUGAAACACACAACCGGCUCGUGAGGGCGGGGAGAGUACCGCAAACUUCCUAAGGAGCCAAUAGAGAAAAAGAACGCUAAAGAGCUUCCUGAGUUCGGGAGUCGGCGGAAGAUGGCGGCCUCCGAAGGGCUCGGUGCGUGUGUGAGUUGCUGAGGUGAGGGGCCGGUCGAGCGGGCUCGCAGGCGGUACCUGUCCGGUCGUGGUAGUUGCCCGUCCAGUGCAGCUCAAGUCUGCGGGGAACGGCCUGCGUUGGCAUGGAUCUGGGAUAUUUUCUCAGGUUUUUUUAUGCAUUAUUCUUCCCUGGGCUAAUUGUGUGUGGAAUUUUAUGUGUAUUUUUGGCCUUUGCCCUUUGGGGAAUCAGAUGGCUGCUACAGAGAAAGAAAAGGUCGAUGUCAGCCAACAAGAAUGGGAAAAAUCAAAUGGUGAUUGCAUUUUUUCACCCAUACUGCAAUGCUGGUGGAGGAGGAGAAAGAGUUUUAUGGUGUGCCCUGAGGGCCCUGCAGAAAAAGUAUCCUGAAGCAGUUUAUGUUGUUUACACUGGUGACAUUAAUGUCAGUGGUCAACAGAUCCUAGAAGGUGCUUUCAGAAGAUUUAACAUCAGAUUAAUCCACCCCGUGCAGUUUGUGUUCUUAAGGAAACGCCGCCUUGUGGAAGACUCACAGUAUCCUCGCUUCACACUGCUGGGCCAAAGCCUAGGGUCCAUUUUCCUCGGUUGGGAAGCGCUGCUGCAGUGUGUUCCUGACGUUUACAUUGAUUCAAUGGGUUAUGCUUUCACCCUUCCUCUGUUUAAGUACCUAGGGGGUUGCCGAGUUGGAAGCUAUGUUCAUUAUCCCACAAUCAGCACUGACAUGCUCUCUGUAGUGAAGAAUCGAGAUGCUAGAUUUAAUAACGCAGGCUUCAUUACCAGGAACCCUUUUCUCAGCAAAGUGAAGCUCAUCUACUACUAUUUAUUUGCUUCUCUUUAUGGACUUGUUGGUUCAUGCAGUGAUGUUGUCAUGGUCAAUUCUUCUUGGACCUUAAACCAUAUUCUGUCACUGUGGAAGGUCGGGAAUUGCACGAACGUUGUUUAUCCACCCUGUGAUGUACAGACAUUUCUGGACAUUCCCUUACAUGAGAAAAAGACAAUCCCAGGACAUUCAGUGGUUUCCAUUGGCCAGUUCAGGCCUGAGAAGAAUCAUCCUUUGCAAAUCAGAGCCUUUGCUAAGUUGCUGGGUAAGAAGGUGGCUGAGUCCCCUUCACUGAAACUUGUCCUCAUUGGAGGUUGUCGUAACAAAGAUGAUGAACUUAGAGUAAACCAGCUGAGGAGACUGUGUGAGGACCUGAAAGUUCAAGAAGAUGUGGAAUUUAAAAUAAACAUUCCAUUUGAUGAGUUAAAGAAGUACUUGUCUGAAGCAACGAUUGGGCUGCAUACCAUGUGGAACGAACAUUUUGGAAUUGAUGUUUCCAGACCAUCAGACUGUUAUAAUUCAAGCUCCAAAUGCAACUGAAAUAUAAUCCAUGGCUACAAAUCAUUGAGAACUUUUCCUCUGAGAAAUUGGCCCAAAAUAGGCAAGCAUCAUUACUGAGCUUCCUAGAGCACCCUGUAUCCAGCUAGCAAGAAUGGAGGGGCCAGUGGAGAAGACGAGAAUACUCAAGGUGUGUAGGAGGCGCACAGGGAAAGGAAGAGAAGGAAGAAAAGCAGUGUAAACGGAGUCUCCAACACAAAAUAAACGCAUGAAUAAGUCUAAUGGACUGAGGGUGAUCAUCUCCCACCAGCAGGCGGUUAUGGAGCAGAGGAGGAGAAACAGGUGGAGUAAACCCUCAUUUUGGAUGAGAUGAGGGAGAUGUGUAAAAUAUGGAAAAUGAUGCAAAAUUUGGUGAAAAGAAAAAAAUGCACCACCUGAACAAGGCUGUAGUGGUGGGAGUGGUGAAUCUGUUUAACAACAGUGCAAUGUCACAUUUCCACGAAAUCCUCAAAAGGAGGCAAAAGCAAGUGUCACUGGCUGGGUUCCUUGUUAAAGCUGCACGAAAAGAAAAAGAUUCCAGUGGGCCCAUAGACAGCGGUGAUUCUGUUAGUGACAGUGACUCAUCCUCCUCUCUCCUGUCCGCCUCACGCCAGCAACCAAGGUUUUCAAAGGAAGUGAAGGUUAAUUUUUUCUAUAUAUUUUUUAUUUUCUUU